GACGAACCGAGCGAACGUUGUUCGGAAUCACUGGGCUUAAAGGGCGCGUAGGCGGGUAUUCAAGUCUGUGGUGAAAUCCGGCAGCUCAACUGUCGAAUUGCCGUGGAUACUGGGUAUCUCGAGGGAGGUAGGGGCAUGCGGAACUAACGGUGGAGCGGUGAAAUGCGUUGAUAUCGUUAGGAACUCCGGUGGCGAAGGCGGCAUGCUGGACCUCUUCUGACGCUGAGGCACGAAGGCCAGGGGAGCAAACGGG
rnacentral:rRNA from 1 species